rnacentral:rRNA from 1 species
UGCCAGCCGCCGCGGUAAUACGGAGGGUGCAAACGUUGCUCGGAUUUAUUGGGCGUAAAGCGCGUGUAGGCGGCUGUUUAAGUCCAGUGUGAAAUCCCUCGGCUCAACCGAGGAACUGCGCUGGAUACUGGGCAGCUAGAGUACAGGAGAGGGUUGUGGAAUUCCCGGUGUAGAGGUGAAAUUCGUAGAUAUCGGGAGGAACACCAGUGGCGAAGGCGACAACCUGGCCAAAUACUGACGCUGAGGUGCGAAAGCGUGGGGAGCAAACAGGAUUAGAUA